rnacentral:rRNA from 1 species
UACGUAGGGCGCAAGCGUUGAUCGGAAUUACUGGGCGUAAAGCGUGCGCAGGCGGUUCCUUUAGACAGACGUUAAAGACCCGGGCUCAACCUUGGAACUGCAUUUGUGACUGCGGGUCUAGAGUACGGUAGAGGGGGAUGGAAUUCCCCGUGUAGCAGUGAAAUGCGUAGAUAUUCGGAGGAACACCAAUGGCGAAGGCAGUCCCCUGGACCUGUACUGACGCUCAUGCACGAAAGAGUGGGGAGCAACCAGG